UCCCUGAUAGCUCAGUUGGUAAAAAAUCUGCCUGGAAUGCAGGAGGCCCCAGUUCAAUUCCUGGGUCAGGGAG
rfam:Ovis aries breed Texel chromosome 1, whole genome shotgun sequence.